CAAGGGUCGGUGUCCCUUCCUAUCGGAAGGACGAAAACAGAGAACGAAUCCACCUUCUCCCUCGGGCAACCGAGAGCUCGCUCUCCCUCUCGCCCUCUCUCACACGCGCUCCCUCGCGCUCUCUCUCUCUCACCCCCACCGUUCUCUCUUUCCCACGCUCUCCCUUUCUUCCGCUCCUCCUCUUCUUAUUCUACUACUUGUUCUCUUUUCUAUCUCUUCCCCCCUUUCUUCCGGUCUCUCUCUCUCCUUUCCCAUGUCCCUGUCCGUGUGUUGGUAGACGAAGGGCCCUCUUUCCCAUGGCCUAUUCCCUCUUUCUCUCUCUGUUUUUAAUUUCUCUCGGUUUUCCCCCUGUGAGUGUGUGUGCGUGUGAGGUUAUUGGCAGGGAUCCGCGGUACCGCCUCCUAUCACACUGCAGCGUAUAGGGGGUGAGGGAUCUUUAUGAAUGGAGUAGACUCUUUGGUCGUGAAAUAUGUGAAGUGAGAUCUAAGGAUCAAGAACUAAGCCAAUACCAGCUUUCUGCGAAAAGUAAAUAGAGGUAAGGCUAUCUUCCUAAUUAGUAUACUUGGUUUUGAUUAGUGAUAUAUAUUAGAGUGUGGCUUUGAAUUAUGUAUAAUUACUUAAAUACUGAAAGUUUGAGUAGUAAAUUUUGGAAAAUAGAUCUCUAUUUAUGACUUGGGGUAAUAUGUAUAAAUUUAUAUGAUAUUUUGGUUUAAUAGUUUAACUGUUCAUUGAUAGGUAGAAUACCUUGCAUGUUUAUAAAGCCAACCCUGUAAGUAUGUAGUGGUUUUCAUGCCCUCAAAUUAUGGAAUCUAGAGUGGUCGGAGGUGUGACGAGUUUAUUCAGAAAAAUCUUUUUCCCCUCUUCCAUCCUCUGCUCGCCACUCCAAUGAUGAAACAAGGUUGGGUUGCAUGGAGCAAACCUUGAAUUGCUUCUCAUUUCAGAAUCUAGCAAUCUUUUUCUCACAUCCAUUCGAAUUUCUUUUUAUAAACACAUUUGUUUCCACUGUGACAAUAAGCCAUUAAAUUUUGAAUGGUAGCGAGUUUGGUACCUGAAAGAUGAGCACCCAGGCUUCAUGAA